rnacentral:rRNA from 1 species
UACGGGGGGGCAAGCGUUGUUCGGAAUUACUGGCGUAAAGGGCGCGUAGGCGGCGCAACAAGUCACUUGUGAAAUCUCCGGGCUUAACCCGGAGCGGUCAAGUGAUACUGUCGUGCUAGAGUGCGGAAGGGGCUACUGGAAUUCUCGGUGUAGCGGUGAAAUGCGUAGAUAUCGAGAGGAACACCUGCGGCGAAGGCGGGUAGCUGGGCCGACACUGACGCUGAUGCGCGAAAGCCAGGG